rnacentral:lncRNA from 1 species
GUGGUUGUUGUUUGUUGCUGUGUUACAUAUUUUUUUUUUUUUUUUUUAUUAAUUAGGUCUUUAAUUUUCCCUUUAGAAUUGUUUUACAUGUGUUAUUUUAGGGCCUUUUAUAGCUGACUAUGUGUUAUGGGUUUUGCUCAUUGUUGAAGACUGUACAGUGACCUAUAUUAGUUAAUUUCUGUGUCAUUUAGUCACUUGUGCAGAGAUGUCUCAUUGGCAAUCAUACCACAUCUUCUUAUAUUGUAGAUAGUUUUCUUUAGCAAAUCAUUCUGCGCUUUUGAUUGAUUGAUUGAAAGUCACUUACAGCACUUA